GUCAUAGCUCAGUGGAAGAGAGCAUGCUUUGCAUGCAGGAGGUCCCAGGUUAAAUCCCUGAAUCACCAGGUACU